AUUCACCUAUCGAAAUUCAAUAGCAGUAGGCUAACUGUAAGCUAUUCACAGAACCCAGUCCAUGAACCAGGAUGUACCAGUCACUUUUUUACUAGAACACAAGUUCAAUGGACAAGAGUUUGACAGUUAGCUACGAAACAGAACGAUUACGUUAAAUGUUUAUCCAAGGACUAAAAAGACCAUAACUUGGGGUCCAUCAACGAGACAUGGAUCUUCCCUUUCAACCUUUACUGGUGUGUCAACUGAAUUUGCUACGUUAAACAAUCCCGUCAGUCAAAUGUAAUUGCACCAACAGCUAGUGAAAGC
rnacentral:lncRNA from 1 species